UCUCUCCCAAGUCCCAAAUCGUUGUUCUACAUUAUACUACUAACACAGACUACUCUAUACUACUCUCGGUUGAUUUGGGUGACGUUUAAGCUUGUUCUACAUUGUUGUUCGUUGGUUUGAGUUUCAAUUGGGUUCAAUUGGGUUCCGUAUUUAGGCCGCGGGCUCUGAUUUUCGCUGGCGCUGGCGCUAGGGUUCAAUUGGCUCUUCCAAAUCGACAGCUCUCCCAAAACGCUGUCCGAUUGUGGUGUUGGGGUUCCUGGUAAGUUGUUCGCGUAUCUCCACUCCACUUCGUUCUCUCUACUGUAGUUUAAAUUUAAACUAAUUUACAGCAGAAGGGCUAUGUGUACUGGCUUCUUACUGUGUUCCAAAUGCUAAGUGCUUAGUAAAUAGAGGAAUUCGCUCAGUUACUAAAUCUAGAUCCCGGUUACUAUUGUUUUAGUCACGAAAGCAGGCUUCAGAAUCACUGGAAGCUUGAUGAUUCACGAAAGAAGAUUGUAUUGGAGAAAGCAGCAAAGAAAUGGCGGGAUUUCAAGGGUAAGUUGACAAGGAAUUUUCUGCGAGCUGGAAAGGAUCCAUGUGAAGUUUAUUAUUUCAUCAGCCAAGAGCAAUGGGAAACAUAUAAAAUGAGACGCAGAAGUGAGGAAUUUAAGGCCCUAGGCCUUGGUUUAAGAAGGUAUUUAAAGAAGGUUAUCAAUGAGGUUCGAGAGCUGUGGGCUGAAUUUUUUAUAGUUGAAUGUCUAUAAUCAGAUAGUUGACAGACUGUAAUGGCCACUACAAGCUUUCUAGUGGUAAGGACGAGAGCGAAGACAUAGGCAGCUGACUUAUUAUUAUAUUGAUUUCAUAAUUUUUAGUGUUGACAUGUAAUUUCACACGAAGAAUUAUUGGUUGUAAUACGAUUUAAUUUUAAUAUAUAUUGAAUUUCUAAGUUUGUGUAA